UACAGAGGUCCCAAGCGUUGUUCGGAUUCAUUGGGCGUAAAGGGUGCGUAGGCGGCGCGGUAAGUCGGGUGUGAAAUCUCGGAGCUUAACUCCGAAACUGCAUUCGAUACUGCCGUGCUUGAGGACUGGAGAGGAGACUGGAAUUUACGGUGUAGCGGUGAAAUGCGUAGAUAUCGUGAGGAACACCAGAGGCGAAGGCGGCUACCUGGACAAUUGCUGACGCUCAGGCACGAAAGCGUGGGGAGCAAAAGGG
rnacentral:rRNA from 1 species